AGAGUUUGAUCAUGGCUCAGAUUGAACGCUGGCGGUAGGCCUAACACAUGCAAGUCGAACGGUAACAGGAAGAAGCUUGCUUCUUUGCUGACGAGUGGCGGACGGGUGAGUAAUGUCUGGGAAACUGCCUGAUGGAGGGGGAUAACUACUGGAAACGGUAGCUAAUACCGCAUAACGUCGCAAGACCAAAGAGGGGGACCUUCGGGCCUCUUGCCAUCGGAUGUGCCCAGAUGGGAUUAGCUAGUAGGUGGGGUAACGGCUCACCUAGGCGACGAUCCCUAGCUGGUCUGAGAGGAUGACCAGCCACACUGGAACUGAGACACGGUCCAGACUCCUACGGGAGGCAGCAGUGGGGAAUAUUGCACAAUGGGCGCAAGCCUGAUGCAGCCAUGCCGCGUGUAUGAAGAAGGCCUUCGGGUUGUAAAGUACUUUCAGCGGGGAGGAAGGGAGUAAAGUUAAUACCUUUGCUCAUUGACGUUACCCGCAGAAGAAGCACCGGCUAACUCCGUGCCAGCAGCCGCGGUAAU
rnacentral:rRNA from 1 species